AUUGAACGCUGGCGGCAUGCUUUACACAUGCAAGUCGAACGGCAGCGCGGGCUUCGGCCUGGCGGCGAGUGGCGAACGGGUGAGUAAUACAUCGGAACGUGCCCAGUAGUGGGGGAUAGCUCGGCGAAAGCCGGAUUAAUACCGCAUACGACCUGAGGGUGAAAGCGGGGGAUCUUCGGACCUCGCGCGAUUGGAGCGGCCGAUGGCAGAUUAGCUAGUUGGUGGGGUAAAGGCCUACCAAGGCGACGAUCUGUAGCUGGUCUGAGAGGACGACCAGCCACACGGGGACUGAGACACGGCCCAGACUCCUACGGGAGGCAGCAGUGGGGAAUUUUGGACAAUGGGCGAAAGCCUGAUCCAGCAAUGCCGCGUGUGUGAUGAAGGCCUUCGGGUUGUAAAGCACUUUUGGCGGGAACGAAAAGGACUGUGCCAAUACCACGGUUCGAUGACGGUACCCGCAGAAUAAGCACCGGCUAACUACGUG
rnacentral:rRNA from 1 species